rnacentral:rRNA from 1 species
AGAGUUUGAUCCUGGCUCAGGAUGAACGCUGGCGGCGUGCCUAAUACAUGCAAGUCGAGCGAACCAAAAAGGAGCUUGCUCCUUUACGGUUAGCGGCGGACGGGUGAGUAACACGUGGGUAACCUGCCCUCAAAACUGGGAUAACAUCGAGAAAUCGGUGCUAAUACCGGAUAAUCAAUAAGACCGCAUGGUCUUAUUAUAAAAGGUGGCUUCGGCUACUAUUUGAGGAUGGGCCCGCGGCGCAUUAGCUAGUUGGUAAGGUAACAGCUUACCAAGGCGACGAUGCGUAGCCGACCUGAGAGGGUGAUCGGCCACAUUGGGACUGAGACACGGCCCAAACUCCUACGGGAGGCAGCAGUAGGGAAUCUUCCGCAAUGGACGCAAGUCUGACGGAGCAACGCCGCGUGAGUGAUGAAGGUUUUCGGAUCGUAAAACUCUGUUGUUAGGGAAGAACAAGUACCGUUCGAAUAGGUCGGUACCUUGACGUUACUCGCAGAAUAAGCACCGGCUAACUCUGUGCCAGCAGCCGCGGUAAUACAGAGGGUGCAAGCGUUAAUCGGAUUUACUGGGCGUAAAGCGCGCGUAGGUGGCCAAUUAAGUCAAAUGUGAAAUCCCCGAGCUUAACUUGGGAAUUGCAUUCGAUACUGGUUGGCUAGAGUAUGGGAGAGGAUGGUAGAAUUCCAGGUGUAGCGGUGAAAUGCGUAGAGAUCUGGAGGAAUACCGAUGGCGAAGGCAGCCAUCUGGCCUAAUACUGACACUGAGGUGCGAAAGCAUGGGGAGCAAACAGGAUUAGAUACCCUGGUAGUCCAUGCCGUAAACGAUGUCUACUAGCCGUUGGGGCCUUUGAGGCUUUAGUGGCGCAGCUAACGCGAUAAGUAGACCGCCUGGGAAGUACGGUCGCAAGACUAAAACUCAAAUGAAUUGACGGGGGCCCGCACAAGCGGUGGAGCAUGUGGUUUAAUUCGAUGCAACGCGAAGAACCUUACCUGGUCUUGACAUAGUAAGAACUUUCCAGAGAUGGAUUGGUGCCUUCGGGAACUUACAUACAGGUGCUGCAUGGCUGUCGUCAGCUCGUGUCGUGAGAUGUUGGGUUAAGUCCCGCAACGAGCGCAACCCUUUUCCUUAUUUGCCAGCGGGUUAAGCCGGGAACUUUAAGGAUACUGCCAGUGACAAACUGGAGGAAGGCGGGGACGACGUCAAGUCAUCAUGGCCCUUACGACCAGGGCUACACACGUGCUACAAUGGUCGGUACAAAGGGUUGCUACCACGCGAGUGGAUGCUAAUCUCAAAAAGCCGAUCGUAGUCCGGAUUGGAGUCUGCAACUCGACUCCAUGAAGUCGGAAUCGCUAGUAAUCGCGGAUCAGAAUGCCGCGGUGAAUACGUUCCCGGGCCUUGUACACACCGCCCGUCACACCAUGGGAGUUUGUUGCACCAGAAGUAGGUAGUCUAACCGUAAGGAGGACGCUUACCACGGUGUGGCCGAUGACUGGGGUGAAGUCGUAACAAGGUA